UUUGAUCAAUUUCUCACCACUCAGACAGCAUUCCUGACCACAGUAGCAUUUCGAGAGAGGUCUCCGGCGGGCACGGGCCCGGGGGCAGCGUCCGCAAACCCCCCUGGCGGCCAACCGUGGCGGGCCCGCCGAAGCAACACGGAUACGAUCGACAAGGGUGGGAGGUCUGGGCCCCCACCCCCCGGGAAGGGGAUAGGGACCCGUACUCGGUAAUGAUCCUUCCGCAGGUUCACCUACGGAAA
rnacentral:misc_RNA from 1 species